GCUGCCCCUGACCUGAACCUUUGGUCCUCAGACUGGCCUGGGGCCACCUUUCCCCUCCACUCCUCUGUCCUCUGGAGAUCACGUUUAUUAGAAAAAGCUGUUGGCUCCUGCAGAGCUGGAGUUUGGAGUACAAGCCAGAAGCUGGGAUUACAGCUCAAAAAAAAAAAGAAGCUAUUAGGCCCUUUGGUGUUGCUUCUGUCUUUUAUUUUCUACACACUGAACACACAUCUUGGGUUUUCAGGCCAGUCUAAUCUUGGCUUCAGCGGGGGUGCUAAUGAGGGUAGCGAAGGGGCCCUCCCACCCCAAACCCCACCCAUUCCUGUAAGACAGCCAAGGCCCAGUGCUGGCUCCAAAUCCCUCCCACUUUGGACUUAUAAAACUUGCAGCUCUCUGCAGUUCUGCACUCACAUAUGUGACGGCACAACAGAGUGCCACAAGGCCAAGGUCUGGAGAGGUCAGGGAGGUCGGCCCCAGUGCGCACCCUGACUCGGCAGCAUGGAGCUGGUCCAGGACAUCUCCCGCCCGCCACUGAAGUAUGUGAAGGGGGUGCCUCUCAUCAAAUACUUUGCAGAGGCAAUUGGGCCACUGCAGAGCUUACAACCCAGGCCCGAUGACCUGCUCAUCAGCACCUACCCCAAAUCUGGCACCACCUGGGUGAGUGAGAUCCUGGACAUGAUCUACCAGGAUGGCGACUUGGAGAAGUGUCAGAGGGCUCCCAUCUUAACCCGGGUGCCCUUCCUUGAGUUCAAGGGUCCAGGGUGUCCCACAGGUAUGGAGGUUCUGAAAGAUACACCAGCCCCACGGCUCCUCAAGACACACUUGCCCCUGGCUCUGCUCCCACAGGCCCUGCUGGACCAGAAGAUUAAGGUGAUCUACGUUGCCCGGAACGCCAAGGAUGUGGCCGUCUCCUAUUACCACUUUUACCGCAUGGCCAAGGUGCACCCUGAGCCCGGCACCUGGGAGAGCUUCCUGGAGAAGUUCAUGGCUGGGGAAGUGUCCUAUGGGUCCUGGUACCAGCACGUGCGGGAGUGGUGGGAGCUGAGGCGCACCCACCCUGUUCUCUACCUCUUCUACGAGGACAUGCAGGAGCCUCCACUGAAGAGCCCCCCUGCUGCUCCAGAACCCCAAAAGGGAGAUUCGGAAGAUUCUGGAGUUCGUGGGCCGCCCCCUGUCAGAGGAGACGGUGGAUCACAUUGUGCGGCACACGUCGUUCAAGGAGAUGAAGAAGAACCCCAUGGCUAACUACAGCACCAUACCCGUGGAGCUCAUGGACCACAACAUUUCCGCCUUCAUGAGGAAAGGCAUCACGGGGGACUGGAAAACCAUGUUCACUGUGGCCCAGAAUGAGCGCUUUGAUGCCCACUACGCUGAGAAGAUGGCAGGCUGCAACCUCAAGUUCCACACAGAGCUGUGAGUGGUGUUCAUGGGACCGCUCCCCAGGGAGUGUGUGCGAGGGGCCCGACAGGGGCCUCAAGAAUAAAGUACAGCUUGUGCUGCA